AAGUGUAAAACCCAACCCAAAACCCCUCAAAACCGUUGGCUUGCCUUCUUUUUCCUCGCAGGCAACCUCCACUGCCCGCCCUCCCUCCCUCUCUCAAACACCUUCCCUACAAAACAAAGAACGCCUCUCUCUCUCUCUCUCUCUCUCUCUCUCUCUCUCUCUCUCUCUACCCCCUCACCCGCCGGCCUCCGGGCAUGAAUCUCGUGCGGAUCUUCUCCUCUCAGAAUCGCCGCUCCCUGGCUCUCCUGAAGCACUCUUCCAGGCCUUUCUCGGCGGAGACGGCAGAGUACGCGAAGAGGAACUACGCCAGCAACAUCUCCGAGUACAACACCGUCAUCAGCUCACUCAUCGCCCAGCGAAGGAAUUACUUGCUGAGGGAUGCGUACGAUGACAUGUUGCUCGACGGCGUCCAGCCGGUGCGCGACACAUUCCACUCUCUUAUUGUGGGGACCAUGAAAUGCAGCCGGCUCCAAGAUGGAUUCUUCUUCCGCGAACAGAUGAAUGCCAUGGGCUUGCACCCCGAUGUUAAUCUGUACAAUUUCUUGAUCUCGACCUGUGGGAAAUGCAAGAACUCUGAUGCGGCAAUAAAAUGUGUUCUUUUGGAAGAAAUGAAGAGGCAUGGGGUGAAGUUGAAAGGAGAGACUUACAUUUGCCUCCUUAGUGCUUGUGCAGCAACUGGACGUACAGAUCAAGUCUAUGCAAUUGUUCGUGAUAUGACUGCUGCUGGCCUUGGAUUAAACAAAUUUUGCUAUGCUGGACUUAUAACUGCAUUUAAGAACAAGUUACCAAUCACCAAGGAGACUACUACAAAAAUCAUCGAGUUUGUCUAGCAAUCCAAGGGGUGGUCAUCAAUUGAAACUUCAAGUAAUAGUGGAGAAAAUGUGAUGAUGAAUGUUUCUGAGGAGGAAUUGUAUAAUAUCCCAACUGGAGAAUAUGUGCACAGACGGGGAUUUAUAAACAGAUAGUUAACAGUUUAUUAUGUAGCUUUACAUGCAUGCGCAGAUUUAAAGAGUAAAGAGACAAUGGAAACAAUUCUUGAAAUGCUUAAAAGAGAUGGCUAUUCUUAUGAUAUCUUCAUUGUCAUGCAAGCAAUGAGAAUCAGUUAUACGAAGCUAUACGACUUUAAGAUAAUUGCAGACCUGACAGUAGUUGACGGAGCAAUGGUUGGUUAUACUCCUCAAGGGAUGCAACUUGCACAAGAUACCCUGGGAAAAAUGAAUGCAAGAGGAUUUUUCUUGAAUCCCAAGAUGGGAAGUGAUCUCCUCCUGGCAGCUGCAGGUAAAAAGACGGGUGGAUACACCACUGCCAAUUAUAUAUGGGAUCUAUUACAAAGCCGCAAGAUUGAUCCUUCUCUUCCUGCGGUGGAGGCCUACCACAAGGGUUUGAAGCAACGGGAGAUACCAGUAGAUGAUCCACGGCUUCUGAUGGUUUCACGCACGCUCGAUAAUCUCAGGCUUAGAUUUGGAGGAAGAAGAAAUGCUUAGAGUGGCCAGUAUUUUGCAGUCUGCUUUCAGGGACCCCCUUCUCUUCCCUGUAUGUUAUUUGGGUGCAGUGCUUCUUAGCUUUACAGGUGCAGUCAUCUUCAGUUAGAGGCUACCGAAAGUAACAUUGUAAUAUGAAUGAGGUCUACUUGUACAAGAUAUUCAGAACAGAGCACAAUUUUAGUGUUAAAUUAUAGAUAAAAAAAUUAAUUUACAUAAUCUUCUAUAGAGCAACAACUUGAUAGUUAAUUUU